ensembl:lncRNA
CCGGCCAGCAGCGCCCUGGGUGGGGGCGAUCCUCGCGCGGCCCCCGCGCCUCCGACGGUGGGGUGGGACCUACCUUCCGUGGGGGGCGGGACAGCUCGAGCUAGCUUCUGCAAAACACUUGGACGCUUGCUCCUUGGAAGAAAAGCUAUGACUGACCUAGACAGCGUAUUAAAAAGCAGAGACAAAGGUCCGUCUAGUCACCGACAAAGGUCCGUCUAGUCACCGACAAAGGUCCGUCUAGUCAAAGCUAUGGUUUUUCCAGUAGUCAUGUAUGGAUGUGAGAGUUGGACCAUAAAGAAAGCUGAGUGCCCAAGAAUUAAUGCUUUUGAACUGCGGUAUUGGAGAAGACUCUUGAAAGCCCUUUGGACUGCAAGGAGAUCCAACCAGUCCAUCCUAAAGGAAAUCAACCUUGAAUAUUCAUUGGAAGGUCUGAUGUUGGAGCUGAAACUCCAACACUUUGGCCACCUGAUGCGAAGAGCUGACUCAUUGGAAAAGACCCUGAUGCUGGGAAAGAUUGAGGGCAGGAGGAGAAGGGGACAACAGAGGAUGAUAUGGUUGGAUGGCAUCACCGACUCAAUGGACACGAGUUUGAGCAAACUCCAGAAGGUGAUGGACAGGGAGGCCUGGCGUGCUGCAGUCCACGGGGUCAAAAAGAGUCGGACAUGGCUGAGCAACAACGAAAGCACUUUGAACCAGUGGUUGUUCAGUCACUGAGUUGCGUCUGAUCUUUUCGACCCCAUGGACUGCAGCGUGCCAGGCUCCUCUGCCCUCUACUAUCUCCCAGAGUCCAUGUCCACUGAGUCCGUGAUGCUAGGUAACCGUCUCAUCCGCUGCCCCUUGCUUCUCCUUGAGCUUCAGGCUUCACUCCACAGACUUCAGAGUGAGAAUGCUUGGUGUCAGAGGACAGCGUUGUGCAGGAAACAGCAUGGACUCAGCUGCGUGGCGGAAAGGUGGCGGUGGCCAGGCAAAGGCUUGUGUGGAAGGGACGGUAACAUAUUCUGAGCAGACCUUCCUGUUGAGGAAGUCUGCAUUCUGAAAAAUCUUGGGUUUAGUUUAUUUUCCUGAGCCCUUACCUGUCCGCCUUUCUGCUCCAGGAGUCUGACCGUGCCAUCGGCUGACCUCACGAGUGUAAGCUCUCUGACCAUGUUCUGACUUGCUGCGGGUAAGCGGGCUCUGGGAGUCAUCCGUGUGUCUUCAGCCAGGACAGUGUCGGCUCAGUUUUGCUCGUAACCUCAACCUCAUGAGCCCAGAAGGCAGCACCAUGCUUGCAGGCCACCGGGCACCGAGUCCAAGGCCUCAGAGAACACUGAUGGUAAAGGGGAG